UGUUUGUGCGGAAGCGUGUGUGUGUGCAAGUGUGUAUGUGUGAAAUAUGGGCUACAAAGGCAAGGGUGUAUGGAUUAAAAAAAAAACAGAACUUUUAUUAUGAAAGUAAGUAUUACAAAGGAAGGAGUGGUUUUGGUUUUUUCAGCCAACUAAAACAGACACCACACCUCUAUUUAUAGGCGUGAGCACCGCCUCUUCUUCACCGACAUUGAGUACAAGAAAUAAUAAAAAAAUUUCAGCUUGCUUCUUUGUCCCUGCAUGUUGCGGCUUCUCCCGAUUAUUCUGGUCUCUCCUCCAUUUUUCUGCAUUUUUCUAUUCUCUCCAACUCUCAGCCACUUUUGUUGACUUUUCUUUCGCCUAUUUGCUGUCCACGUGUUCUGCUGCCCACGUACCAGAAAUUUCUUCAGCCUUUGAGAGUCUUCGAAGCUUGAUGCUGCCGAUUUUGCUCCUUCUCCAUUAAGCAUGAGUGUUCUAGAGUUUUCACAAAAUGGAUCAUAUUUUAACACUCCUCCUUGAUCCAUUUUUGUGAUACUCCAAGCAUGCUUCUCAAUGUCUCAAAUUUUGCUGUUGGUAGUGCUUUAGUGAAUAUGUCCGCAAUUUGAUCUUCAGUCUUACAAUACUUUAGCUCGAUCUCUCCUUUACUUUGCACUUCACGAAUGAAGUGAUAUUUUAUAUCAAUAUGCUUUGUUCUUCCAUGAAAGACUGGAUUUUUUGAUAUUGCUAUUGCGGACUUCUUGUCACAAAAUAUUGGCGUUGAUUCCAUUUGUGGUUCUCCAAUGUCUUCUAAAAUUCUUCGAAGCCAUAUUGCUUGACUGGCGGUCAUAGCAGCAGCGAUGUAUUCAGCUUCUGCAGUAGACUGUGCCACUGAGUCUUGUUUUUUAGAUGCCCAUGAGAAUAUUCCAGAACCUAAUGUGAAUGCAUAACCAGUGGUGCUCCUCCUAUCAUCAGCUGAACCAGCCCAGUCGCUAUCAGUGUAGCCGAUGAGCUUGGCGUUAGCACUUGGGCGAUACCAAAUGCCGUAAUCUAUAGUUCCUCGUAAAUAUCUGAGAAUUCUCUUGUCAACUCCAAAGUGAAUUUGACUCGGACUUUGCAUGAAUCGUGAUAGUAAACUUGUCGCAUACAUAAUAUCUGGUCGUGUAGCAGUAAGAUAUAGUAGACUCCCAAUUAGGCUUCUGUAGAGUGAAGCGUCUACUUUUUCUGCUCCAUCUUCUUUCAAUAGUUUCUCAUUCAUCACAAGUGGUGUUGCCACUAUUUUGCAAUUAUUCAUCUUGAAUUUUUCAAGGAGCUUUUCUACAUAUUUCUUUUGUGAGAUGAAUAUUCCUUUAUCUUGAUUAACUUCAAUACCGAGGAAGUAUUUCAUCAAGCCCAAGUCCGUCAUUUCAAAUGUCUUCAUCAUUUCUUCUUUAAAUUCUCGGAUCAUUGUCUCAUUGUUUCCUGUAUAUAUGAGAUCAUCUACAUAUAGAGAGACAAUGAGAGUGUCGGACUUACCUUGGGCCUUGAUGUAGAGUGUUGGCUCACUCAUACUCCUCCUGAAUCCUUGCUUGAUGAAGUAUUCAUCGAUUCUACUAUACCAUGCACGUGGUGCUUGUUUUAACCCAUAUAGGGCCUUCUUGAGUUUGAGAACUUUUUCUUCUUGGCCUUUGACAAUAAAGCCUUCUGGUUGAGCUACAUAUAUUUCUUCUUGAAGGUAUCCAUUUAGAAAUGCUGAUUUUACAUCUAGUUGAUAAAUCUUCCAAUCUUUUUGUGCCGCUAAGGCUAUAAGUGCUCGAAUAGUAUCAAGGCGGGCGACGGGAGCAAAAGUUUCAGUAUAGUCAAUACCUGGUUGUUGCAGGUAUCCUUUCGCCACAAGCCUUGCUUUAUGCUUUUGGAUUGAUCCAUCCGCGUUGAGCUUCGUCUUGUAGACCCACUUGACACCAAUGAUCUCUUUGUCUUUGGGUCGAUCAACAAGUUCCCAAGUUUCAUUUUUCUCGAUCAUCUUGAUCUCUUCCUCCAUAGCUUUUAUCCAAACUUCUUCUUUGGAUGCUUGUUCAUAGUUUUCAGGUUCUAAAAUAGCAAAGUUGCAUGUGUCGUAAAUUCUUCUAAGGGCUUUUACCCUUAGUACUGGAGACUCUGGAGUAGACUCUUCUUGUGUUGCUCUUGGAGAGCUUGGUGGAGUUAUAUCGUGAGUGGUAGAAUCCGGUACUACUCCUUCUUCUUGUGACAUUGUCUCCUCUUGAGCAGGUGGUAUGUCUGGCAAGGUUAUGUACUUCUUCUCAAUCUUCUCGCUUUCCCAAUUCCAGGCAGCAUUCUCGUCGAACUCGACAUCUCGACUAAUUAUUAGCUUUUUAGUUCUUAGGUUGUAAAUUCGAUAGCCUUUUGAUUGGUCACUAUAUCCAAGGAAUAUUCCUUUUUCUGUCUUUUCAUCUAGUUUACUCCUUUUUUGAGCAGGGAUGUGGACGUAGCAAAUGCAUCCAAACACUUUAAGAUGCUUUGCCGAAGGCUUUCGUCCACUCCAUGCUUCGACUGGAGUUUUAUUUUGUACAGCUUUCGUUGGACACCUGUUUAGUAGGUAUACAGCAGUAUAAACUGCUUCUACCCAGAAAGUGUUGGGAAGGCCUUUCUCUUUUAGCAUAGACCUUGCCAUCUCCAUGACGGUUCUAUUUUUUCUUUCAGCUACUCCAUUUUGUUCUGGGGCGUAGCCAACAGUUAGUUGAUGAUGGACUCCUUCAUCUUCACAAAAUUUAUUAAACUCCUUUGAAUUGUAUUCUGUGCCUCUGUCACUCCUUAGGACUUUGAUUCUUUGGCCACUUUGAUUCUCUACGUGGUUCUUGAAUUUUCUAAAGAUAGAGAAAACCUCGGAUCUUUCUCGAAGAAAAUAUACCCACGUCAUUCUUGUGUAAUCGUCAAUGAAUAGGAUGAAAUAUUUAUUUUGACUUGGUGUAGGUGUCCUCAUCGGACCGCACACGUCCGUGUGGACAAGUUCCAAUGGCUCCUUAGCUUUCCAUGAAACUCCAGAUGGGAAGGACUGUCUCUGUUGUUUUCCAAGAAGACAGCCUUCACAAACAUCUGAAAUUUCUGUGAUGGCUGGAAAAUCUCUCAUCAUAUUUUUCUGAUGGAGAAUUUUUAGCCCAGCAAAAUUGAAGUGGCCAAAUCUUCGAUGCCAUAGCCAUGAAUCAUCAAGUUGAGCUUUCAUGGCUAUAUCUUUGACCAAUUUCCAUUGAAUAGGAAAAUUGUUAUUUUUCAUCUUAACAGAGGCAAUGAUAUUUUUAUAUUUAUCAUAGAUAAUGCAGGUAUCUCUAUUAAAAUAUAGAGAAUAACCACUUUGUAUCAUUUGGCCCACACUUAAGAGAUUUUGUGCAAGACGAGGGACUAGAUAUACAUUACGUAUAUAUUUUGGGCCUUUAUUCGUUUCCACGGCGAUGGUGCCUUUUCCUUUGACAUCUACUAAUGCACCAUUGCCCAACUUUACUUGAGAUUUCACCGACUCAUCAAUAUCAGUGAAUAUAGUUUCGUCCCUUGUCAUGUGAUUGCUACACCCACUAUCGAUGUACCAUGUUUCGCUUUUAUUGUCAUUUGCCGCUUGGCCUGCGUAGAAUGUAUUCUCUUCACUUUCUUCUUUUUUUUCUGCAUAGUUUGCUCGAUUAUUUGUUUUUGAGCGACAAUCUUUUUCUACGUGGCCAUAUCUUUUACAAAAGCGGCAUUGUUUUUUAUUUUUAAACCAACAAUCCUUCUCCAAAUGAUUUGUUUUCUUGCAAAUGCCACAAGGUGGAUAAUUUUCUUUUUUUAUAAUUUCUCCUCCUCUUUUGUUUUUCCAUGAGCUCCUUCCAUCAUUUUUAGUUUGAUGAGACCGUAUAUUUACUUUGGACUGAAAGGCACUUUCAACCGAAUCUUCAUCUUGUGCCAUUAGUCUUUUCUCAAAUGCUUCUAGAGAGCCAAUUAAUUCACUUAUUGAUAGGGUCGUCAAGUCUUUAGUUCCUUCUAUAGUUGUAACUAUGGAGUUGUAUUUUUUGGUAAGUGACACCAAUAUUUUCUCAACAACCCUUUGAUCAGUUAUCCCAUCUCCAUAGGCUCUCAUUUGAUUAACGAGUUCCUUUAAUUUUCCACAAUAUUCUUGUACGGUCUCAUAAUUUUUCAUUUUAGAAUUCUCAAAAUCUCUUCUUAAUGUUUGAAGACGAAUAGUGCGUACCUUUUCCGAUCCUUGAAAUUCUUCUCGUAGUAUAUCCCAAGCCUCUUUUGCAGUCCUUGCUCCAAUUAUUCUCGGAAAUACGGUUUCCGAAAGAGCUUGCUGGAUAAAAUAUAGCGCCCUUGCAUCCUUUUGUAGUUGAUCCUUCGAAACACUUGCACCUUCUGGCGGAGCCUCGUGACCUUUUUCCACGAUGUCCCAUAAGUCUUGGGCCAUCAAGAAUGUAGUCAUUUUUAUGCUCCAAAAGUCAUAGUUGUUCCCAUAAAAAAUGGGAAUGGGAAAUGAGGACGAGGUAGAGUUGGCCAUGGUUUAGUUAGUGGGUAUUUGGAAAUAGUAGUUUUAGGAGUGGGUGGGUAGGACAAACGCCCGACACCAACCAAAGACGUGGCUCUGAUACCACUGUUGGUGUUUGUGCGGAAGCGUGUGUGUGUGCAAGUGUGUAUGUGUGAAAUAUGGGCUACAAAGGCAAGGGUGUAUGGAUUAAAAAAAAACAGAACUUUUAUUAUGAAAGUAAGUAUUACAAAGGAAGGAGUGGUUUUGGUUUUUUCAGCCAACUAAAACAGACACCACACCUCUAUUUAUAGGCGUGAGCACCGCCUCUUCUUCACCGACAUUGAGUACAAGAAAUAAUAAAAAAAUUUCAGCUUGCUUCUUUGUCCCUGCAUGUUGCGGCUUCUCCCGAUUAUUCUGGUCUCUCCUCCAUUUUUCUGCAUUUUUCUAUUCUCUCCAACUCUCAGCCACUUUUGUUGACUUUUCUUUCGCCUAUUUGCUGUCCACGUGUUCUGCUGCCCACGUACCAGAAAUUUCUUCAGCCUUUGAGAGUCUUCGAAGCUUGAUGCUGCCGAUUUUGCUCCUUCUCCAUUAAGCAUGAGUGUU
rnacentral:lncRNA from 1 species